UCACAUACAUCUUCCCCGUUCUCACAAACUCCAAACCCGCCUUCCACAGACCCCCAGGGACGACAACAGUAACGGCUGACAACCCGACCUCCUCGCCGCCGGCCCCCAACUCACCCCCGACGAUGCCCGCUCCCUCCUCUCCUUCUUCGCCCACGACCAGCUCCUCUCCAUCGUCCAAUCCGCCACCCUCCGCCACCUCGACGUCCUCUCCGCCUUCCGCACGAACGGCCAUCCUAGACCAGAUCGCGUCUCUCCACUGCUCUCUGUCUCUGUCUCUGUUUUUGCUUUGUUAGACACACUCGAGAUUCUGUUCUCUUCUCAUUCUCUUCGAGUUGAAUCGAAGAAGUCAACGAUGUUUAGAUUGAAUAGAAGAAUUCAACGAUCUGUGUCUUCACUCGAGAUUCUGAUGAUUGUUGAUUUUGCCGAUUUCUUUUCCAUUCAGUGAUGUUCGGCUUUCGAAUAAAUCAAUUUUUAGGGCUUAUUUCUUGGUAACAUUUCUUAGGGAUUUUGUUAGGGCUUUUUGUUUUGGUAUGAUUUUCUAUCUAGAUCAGCUGAUUUGGAUAAGGAAUUUUCUUUGCUUAACGAUCUACUGAUUUCUUACCUAGGUAAAGAAUGUCGAUCUACUGAUUUCCACUUCUGGUCCUCUACUCUGAAAUCGCAACCGGUAAGUUCUGAAGUUAGUUGUGUGUUUCGCUAGAAUUAUAAGUUCAUUUUGUUAUGCUCAAAGGCUUCCUUUCUUUUGUUUUGUUAUGGAUUAGACAAUAAUGAAGAAAGUGAAAGCGAGCGAUUUCUACUAAUUUUGGUUCUAGCUCACCGAUUCUGAAAUCUCACUUAAAGCCUGUGGUAAGUUUUCUUGUUAGAAACUACGCUUGAAGAUAUACAGAUAUUGGAUUUUCUCUUCGACUUAGAAACUGAUGCACUGAUAGUUCCAAAGUUUUAGUGGCAAGCUACAGUUAUUCAACUCUUGCAUGUAAGUUAGUUGUCUAAUUUUCUUCUUCAAGAAUGAUAGCUUCAACUGUGUGAAUUGUAUCUUGGUUUCAACUACUGUGUUCAACUUGUAGGCCUCUCUUGUGCCUCUUGAAUAAACAUCAAUAAGCUGUGUGACUCAAUAUUCCUCCUUAGUAGCGAUUUACUUGUCGCUGUUGAUUUCCAUUUCUAUAGUAACAACUGCCAACCACGGAUAGAAGAGAUAUCCAUACUAACAUUGUGUAACAUCUAAAAUUUUCCUUCUCUGGUUAAUUUAUUGAAUGUCCCGCUGAAGAUAUUUCUUCGCGGUGAUAUCUUAGUUAGCCAUGCCUUCAGAAUACAAUAUCAACAAAGAGUGAGGUCAUAUAAAAUUUGCAGUUAGACAAAAGGUAUGGUCUGAGAUUCUGUUUUUUCUUUUUCCAAAAGAACAAAAAGGAUGGAAGAUAGAAAAUCUAUAGCUAAUUGAUUUCAGUUAGUCAUCGUUGAUUUUUGACUUCCCUGGUAAGAAUCAAUUGGUCAGACAUUGCAAUUUGAAUUGCGGAGUCUGGGAAUCAUCUUACAGAAAUUUCAGAAAGGUGUCACCCAUUUGAAUGAUGAAGUGAGAAAUCGAAAGAGAAUUAUUGGGUAACAUAUUCAAGCCAUUGUAGUUUCACUUAACUUAUCAAAAAAUAAUGUGGUCACAUAUAAUCUACACUUUGUGUAUCUAUUACAUUUAAUCCUUUUGCCGUUGGCAUCAGAAUUUUUCCCUGCUGGUUGCUAUUGUAUGUAGAAGAAAAGUUCAUCUUCUUCCCCCUCAACAAAGUGGUGGUGGUGUCUGUUUCCUUGUCUUGUGUUUUCGCUGUCUCUUGUGUCUUUUAGAGGCUUUCUCUUCCUCUCCUCUUUUGGGAGAGCUAAGAGAUCCAGUAGACACUGCCCCGUUCUCUUCAUCAGCAUUUUCCUGCUAAUGGUUCAGGCACUUGGAUUCUGCUAAGACAUGGCUUGAAGGCUUGGCCAAUAAAAAUUGUUGAUCAUGAGUUCCGCAAAGGAAUUUGAGACUCGCCUCUAACAUGCCUUCAAGAUGCUUGGCGCUUGAACAAAUGGUGAUAAGAAUGGCUGCUUGUACCUGGACC